rnacentral:rRNA from 1 species
UACGUAGGGAGCAAGCGUUGUCCGGAAUCAUUGGGCGUAAAGAGCUCGUAGGCGGCUUGUCACGUCGGGUGUGAAAGACCGGGGCUUAACUCCGGUUCUGCAUUCGAUACGGGCUAGCUAGAGUGUGGUAGGGGAGAUCGGAAUUCCUGGUGUAGCGGUGAAAUGCGCAGAUAUCAGGAGGAACACCGGUGGCGAAGGCGGAUCUCUGGGCCAUUACUGACGCUGAGGAGCGAAAGCGUGGGGAGCGAACAGG